rnacentral:antisense_RNA from 1 species
GAGACGAGUGGUGAGCUUAUGGAGGAAGUCGCGACGCCGGUCGGUGAUGCGGGCGUGCACCCGAGCCACCUUCCGCCGGGCCUUCUCCCGGUUGUUGCCGCCCUUGGUCUUGCGGGACGGCUCCCGCUGAGCCUUUGCGAGCCUGCUGCGAUCGCGCCGCUCAUGUCUGGGGUUGGCAACCUUCUCACCCGUGGAGAGGGUGAGAAGGGAGGUGAUGCCCGCAUCCACACCGACCGCGUCAUUCGGUGCCGGGUCGGAGCCGACCACGUCCUCACACGAAAGCGAUACGAACCAGCGACCCGCCGCGUCACGCAUCACGGUCACCGUAGACGGCGUCGACCCCUCUGGCAGGGGACGCGACCACACGAUGUCCAACGGAUCGGCCAUCUUCGCCAGCGUCAGGUAGCCGUUGCGGUAACGGAAUGCGCUGUGGGUGUACUCCGCGGUGGCUCGGGACGUCUUGCGCGACUUGAAACGCGGAUACUUGGCGCGGCCCGCGAAGAAGUUCGAGAACGCGCCUUGGAGAUGCCGCAACGUCUGCUGAAGAGGAACAGAGGGAACCUCGGACAGGAAGUCGAGAUCGUCG